rnacentral:piRNA from 1 species
CCAUUCUGUAAGCAAGAACAAAGGUGA